UACAGAGGUCUCAAGCGUUGUUCGGAUUCAUUGGGCGUAAAGGGUGCGUAGGUGGCGGGGUAAGUCAGGUGUGAAAUUUCGGAGCUUAACUCCGAAACUGCAUUUGAUACUGCCGUGCUUGAGGACUGGAGAGGAGACUGGAAUUUACGGUGUAGCGGUGAAAUGCGUAGAUAUCGUAAGGAAGACCAGUGGCGAAGGCGGGUCUCUGGACAGUUCCUGACGCUGAGGCACGAAGGCCAGGGGAGCAAACGGG
rnacentral:rRNA from 1 species